rnacentral:rRNA from 1 species
GUGCUCCUACGGGGCGCAGCAGUGGGGAAUAUUGCGCAAUGGGGGAAACCCUGACGCAGCAACGCCGCGUGAGUGAAGAAGGCCUUCGGGUUGUAAAGCUCUUUAAUCAGGGACGAAGAAUGACGGUACCUGAAGAAUAAGCUCCGGCUAACUACGUGCCAGCAGCCGCGGUAAUACGUAGGGAGCAAGCGUUAUCCGGAUUUACUGGGUGUAAAGGGCGUGUAGGCGGGCCUGCAAGUCAGAAGUGAAAUCUGGGGGUUUAACUCCCAAACUGCUUUUGACACUGUGGGUCUUGAGUG